rnacentral:lncRNA from 1 species
CCAAAUCCUCUUUCCUGUCAUCCCUCUCCUCUCCCCUGUGUCGCCUUCCCUCUCCCUUUCCUCACGCCUCCGCCAACCUCCUCCCUUUUUUCAGAGCCAGAUCUGGAUAGAAAUCCCACAGCGGCAAACCAACUGGCCCCACGUCGGUGCCACCAUCCCUCACCUCUAUUCUCAUCAACCCGUGCCCCUUUCCCAGAUCCCGUCGACACCAUCAUCACCGGCGAAGCUGUUAACGCCGCUUUCCACUUCCCUGUCAACCAUUGACGCUCUUUUCU